GUUGACAAUUUCUUGACUUUGGAAUUUUGCUCAUGUCGAAAGAAAGCACCCAAAGGAAGAAGAGAGAGUAAGAUAAAUGUGGGGACAGCAGUGAAAUGUGCCAUUCACUCAAGGCAGUUUAAUGGCCUAAGUUUUGCUACUCAUCACUUCUGUGGCAGCCUCCUCCAGUUCAGCCUGGAUUUGCAAAGGAGAAGGAAGGUAAAGAAAGGGGCAAGUAGCAACCGACACACCCAGAUUCUUCAUUCAGCACCAAGGGGUGGAGGUUCGUGAUUGCCACUACGGAUGCCACAUGGAUAGAAUCGUUUGGUUCCUGUUCCCUGACCUAUUCAUGCUAGCACCACUGGGUUCACGGUACCAACUCCACGGGGAAGAGGAGGAUAUACGGAUGCCAGAUGGAGGAGCCCUUUGGUCCUUAGUAGAUGCCCCCUUAUAAACCAACUCUUGGCAACCAGGCGUACUAGAGAGUGGUGGGACGCCCUGAAGUCCUGCUUAGAGGCUUGACCAAUCUCCACCGUGGAAAUGUCUUCUUCAUGGCUGAUUACAAACGACUGAUGACUUAGGAACUGGCCUCUGAAAAAAGGAACACGAAGGUCCAAUUUAAAUAAAAGCUGCCUCCGGAAGGCCUUAUUGGGGUCCUUUCGCCCCCUCUCUGUAAAAAGAAGUGGACACUGGCUACACACCUCCUAGAAUGUGAGUCUCAGGGACCAUCAGCAUGGAGAAAUACCACAGUCUAUCCCAGUACCACGCGGAGAGUGUUUGGCAGUGAAAGAACACAGGAUUCAGGAUUCAGGGCAGCAGCUCUGGUGACACUGGACUCUACGGACAUCCACGGAUGA